GUUAAGGCCUUGUCGUCAGUCACGGUAAUCCGGAGGUGGUGAGUGUUGUCCGGAGUGUGUGUUCUGAAAGCGGGCGCAUGCGGUUGCUUAAGGCUGAUGGUAAAGCCCCCUGCUCAACCGGGGAGGGUCAUUGGAAACUAGGGAACUUGAGUGUAGAAGAGGAUGGUGGAAUUCCAUGUGUAGCGGUGAAAUGCGUAGAGAUGUUGAGGAAUACCAGUGGCGAAGGCGACUCUCUGGUCUUUAACUGACGCUGAGGCGCGAAAGCGUGGUGAGCGAACAGGAUUAGAUACCCCUGUAGUC
rnacentral:rRNA from 1 species